rnacentral:tRNA from 1 species
UCCCAGAUAACUCAAUGAUAAAGAAUCUGCCUGCCAAGCAGAAGACUAGGGUUAGAUCCCUGGGUUGGGAA